AAUAAUCAAAAAUAACACUAGGACUAAAGGUCAAGUUGGUAAUUUUCCUUACACCCCCACCCCAAAAGCCCAAGUACAAAACUUGCCCAAAAAAUAAAGAACCUUGAAUGCUGGAACAAAUUUCUU
rfam:Citrus clementina cultivar Clemenules unplaced genomic scaffold scaffold_3, whole genome shotgun sequence.